UGCCCUUUGUACACACCGCCCGUCGCUCCUACGGAUUGAGUGAUCCGGUGAAUAAUUCGGACGGCAGCCUUUUCCAGUUUCUGGAAGUGGCAGCUGGAAGUUUAGUGAACCUUAUCACUUAGAGGAAGGAGAAGUCGUAACAAGGUUUCCGUAGGUGAACCUGCGGAAGGAUCAUUC
rnacentral:rRNA from 1 species